ACAAGUCAUGCCUGAUGACCAUAGCGAGUCGGUACCACCCCUUCCCAUCCCGAACAGGACCGUGAAACGACUCCACGCCGAUGAUAGUGCGGAUUACCCGUGUGAAAGUAGGUAAUCGUCAGGC
rnacentral:rRNA from 1 species